rnacentral:tRNA from 1 species
UGCGGGAUCGUCUAAUGGUAGGACGACGGCCUUUGAAGCCGCUAAUCCAGGUUCGAAUCCUGGUCCCGCAA